rnacentral:rRNA from 1 species
UAUCGCCUGGGAACUACGAGCCAAGCUUAAAACCCAAAGGACUUGACGGUACCCCACAUCCACCUAGAGGAGCCUGUCCUGUAAUCGAUAACCCCCGCUUAACCUCACCAUUUCUAGCUAUAUCAGCCUGUAUACCUCCGUCGUCAGCUUACCUCGUGAGCGAAAUUUAGUGAGCUCAAUGUCUUUACAUCAAUACGUCAGGUCAAGGUGCAGUAAAUAAAAUGGGAAGAGAUGGGCUACACUCUCUAACUUAGAACAUACGAAAGACUACAUAUGAAACUCUAGUCAGAAGGCGGAUUUAGUAGUAAAAAGAAACCAUAGUGUUCUUUUUAACCCGGCACUGGGGUGUGUACAC